AAUAAAAGCAGUUUGAAAAAAAAAAAAAGAAAGAAAGAAAAGAAAAAAAAAGAAAAAAAAAAAAAAAAAGGGGGUAUCCCAUCUUAUAUGGGAAUAAAGCAGGGCCGACAAGAGCCUUUCGGCUUGUUUAUUGACAGAGUAGCCAAUGCUAUACAAGCAGCAGGGGUACCAGAUUACCUGAAAGGGACUAUCUUGAAACAAUGUGCAAUACAGAAUAGUAACCCUUCAACGCGUAGUAUUUUAGCCACGCUCCCGGGAACAUGGACUAUUGAGGAGGGGCUAGAAAGAAUGGCGCAGGUACCUGUAGGACCGCAAGCUAUGCUAGUAGAGGCGGUGAAACAAUUAGGAGAGAGCAUGAGAGAGCAAGCACAGGCGUUGCGGGAUAAUAUGCAACAGAAUCAAAGACAGGUAUUCGCUGCCAUUGCUCCUUUGCAAAAUCCCGGCGGAAAUACCCCCCCGAUCACCAACUGCAAAACCAACAAACAUGAUGGAGCGGCUUGCUGGAAGGCUGGUUCGGGAAACGCCCAAAGAAGCGGGACAAGCCGCCCCGCGACGACACAAAAGGCGGCCUUCACCACAACAACUCAGCAACCCCCGCAGUUAACACAACCACCUCAGCCGGCGCCCAGCUCCACUCCGAACGGCAUGAAUCCCUUUGUCUUCGACCAGCCACCAGAGGGAGUCUCGGACUGGACUUGGCAACAGCGGUAGACGCCACCUUAUUGGAUACAAAGCCAACAAGAAUCCGGACGAAUGUCUACGGACCAGUAACUAUUAAUCAUGAGCCAGUAGGUGCCUUACUGAUUGGAAGAUCGUCCGCUACAAUGAAAGGAUUACAAGUUUUGACAGGAUUGAUCGACAAGGACUAUUUCAGGGAAAUACAAAUUGUGGUUUCAGCAAUGUUUCCACCUAUGCACAUACCACAAGGAUCGAGAAUAGCCCAGCUUAUUCCGCUUCCCCACCUGACUGUAGGGGUGGCACCAGCGAAAGAGCAACCACGAGGCUAUGGUGCUUUUGGUUCCACUGGAAGUGUAGUAUUACUGACUGUCGGAAUGCAUCAAAGGCCCCGACAAACCGUGACUGUAAGGUAUAAAGAAGAAUCUAUACGCACUAAUGCCUUAUUGGACACUGGAGCGGAUGUAUCAAUAAUUAGCACUAAGAUCUGGCCCCAGCAUUGGCCAACCCGAGAGACCAGCUCUACGGUAGCUGGAGUAGGCGGGGUCACCCUCGCCCGAAAAUCAUCGACGCUACAAUGGACUAUAGGGAACAAGGUGGUUAAUUGCUCCGUUUCCAUUUUACCCCUACCUGAAGGAGUACAAGCAUUAAUAGGGCGCGAUAUCCUUGCCCAGAUGGGUAUGGUGCUUACCUCAGAACACCCUUUAUAGCACCGGCCAUUGCCUGGACUUUCCCAAUCCCACUCAGCUGGAGGACUGAUCAGCCUGUGUGGGUAGAGCAAUGGCCGCUUAAACGGGAAAGUCUCAUUCAAGCACAUGAACUAGUAAAGGAACAGUACAAACAAGGUCAUCUAAGACUAUCUACCAGCCCUUGGAAUACCCCAAUAUUUGUGAUCAAGAAAAAAUCCGGCAAAUACAGACUUUUACACGAUCUACGUGCUGUAAACAGACAGAUGCAUGACAUGGGUGCUUUACAACCGGGGUUACCCAGCCCAGCAAUGAUCCCAGAAGGCUGGCACCUGCUAAUCGUAGAUUUAAAGGACUGUUUCUUUACUAUAGCCCUCCAUGAAGAUGAUAAACAGCGAUUUGCAUUUACACUCCCUGCUAUCAAUAGAGAGGGGCCAGACCAAAGAUUUGAAUGGACAGUACUACCGCAGGGUAUGCGAAACUCACCAACCCUCUGUCAACUCUAUGUCGAUGCGGCACUUCAACCGUUACGUCAACAGUGGCCAGAGACCAUGAUAUAUCACUACAUGGACGACAUAUUGUUGGCACAAAAAAACCCCUUUUCUCCUGAACAAAAAUUUGAUCUAAUCACACAAUUAAAGAAAAAGGAACUUGUGAUGGCCCCGGAAAAGGUACAGGAAUCCAGCCCCUGGCAGUAUCUAGGUUGGCAUAUUUCGAAUGCCACCAUCAGACCACAGAAAUUGACAAUCAGGACUGACAUAAGAACACUCAAUGAUGCUCAAAAACUACUAGGAGACCUCCAAUGGAUCCGUCCGGUUGUCGGCAUUCCUAAUGAACUUUUAAAUCUGCUACGCCCCUUGCUGAAGGGAACAGACCCAGCGGCUGCCGUCACGCUCACAGAGGAACAGCAACGGGUACUCCAGGAAAUUGCAUCGCUAAUUACUACGCGUGCUACGCAUCGACGCCUGGAAAAUCAGCCACUUGAUCUUACUAUUUUAUGUGGCCCACAAUACCUAAUGGGAGCCAUUACACAACACAAAAUAAAAACGGGGGAAAAAAGAGGGUUGGCGGAACCCAUUGUACUAGAAUGGAUAGCACCACCGUUACAACCAAAACGAACUAUUCAAGAAAAAAUUUCAACGCUGGCCGAACUCAUUAGGAAAGGAAGAAACCGAAUAUUGCAAAUUGAGGGAGCACCACCGAAUACCAUUUGGCUGCCAUUGAAACCCAACGACCUAGAAUGGUCAGGCGGUUGUUGAACGAGCAAACAACACUGUCAAACAAUACAUAGAGAAGUUUAAGGAUAUCCUAGACAUCAAGGAAAAAAUUGAUAAGACCCUAUUCGUACUAAACUAUUUGUGUGUAUUCGGGCACGACAAAGAACCACCAGCAAUCAAACAUCAUAUAGAAGAAGAAAAGGCUGAUAGCCGGACCUUUAGAGUAAAAUACCGGGACAUGAAAACGGGAGUAUGGAUAGGUCCAGCAGAGGACGCCUGACACUCUUUGCCCCUGACUUACAUGAUCAGCGUUGGUCAAAUCUGACUGCAGCAAUCAAACAUAGAAGAAGUGAGAAUCGUCGAGGCAAACGUGAAUUGAAAAAACUAGGUUCAGAUUGCGCUGAUGAUGUAGAAUUAUGGGGGCCUGCGGAAAGGUUUUUCGCCGCAGCUUUAGCUCCUAACGUUGCAGUUGCGCAUGCCAUGUCUAAUCUAAAUAAACUUGCUUGUUGGGCUGUUAAGCAAUCAAAUGUUACUACACAAAUUCUCUCUGAAAUGUCACAGGAUAUGGAUAGCCUGAGACAUGCAGUGUUGCAAAAUAGAGCA